rnacentral:RNase_MRP_RNA from 1 species
GGGGAAGAUCCCCGGGCGCUGAGGCAGAGAGUGCCGGGUCGAUGAGACCAGGACCUCGAUUUGGAUCGUUCGCGAUUCGGUCGAGUAGCUCGCCGCGGUACAGUCAUGUGUCCGGCGCGGAUGCAACGCGCGAACGCAACGGGGUCUACUUUCU